rnacentral:misc_RNA from 1 species
GAUGAAGAACGCAGCGAAAUGCGAUAAGUAAUGCGAAUUGCAGAAUUCAGUGAAUCAUCGAAUCUUUGAACGCACAUUGCGCCCGCUAGUAUUCUGGCGGGCAUGCCUGUCUGAGCGUCAUUUCAACCCUCGCCCCCGGCUUUUGCUGGGAGCGGUGUUGGGGAUCGGCCGCCCGUCACUGGGAGGCCGGCCCCGAAAUAGAGUGGCGACCACGCCGUGUGCUCCUCUGCGUAGUAGUAAAUCACCUCGCAGGCGGACAGCGGUGCGGCCUGCCGUAAAACCCCCAACUCUUUCUGGUUACCUCAGAUCAGGUAGGAAUACCCGCUGAACUUAAGCAUAUCAAUAAGCGGAGGA